GCGGAAACGACACUAACAAUCCUUCGGGUGCGUUAAUGGGCGUCGAGCGGCGGACGGGUGAGUAAUGCUUGGGAAUAUGCCUUAUGGUGGGGGACAACAGUUGGAAACGACUGCUAAUACCGCAUAACGUCUACGGACCAAAGGGGGGGAUCUUCGGACCUCUCGCGUUAAGAUAUGCCUAGGUGGGAUUAGCUAGUUGGUGAGGUAAUGGCUCACCAAGGCGACGAUCUCUAGCUGGUUUGAGAGGAUGAUC
rnacentral:rRNA from 1 species